rnacentral:lncRNA from 1 species
CUAUGUUCUAUUUUAAGCCAUAUCGGCCAUCUUGGUUGGUUGGCCAGGUCACCGGACACAUUUUUUAAACUAGAUACCCCAAUGAUGAUUGUGGCCAAGUUUGGAUUAAUUUGGCCAAGUAGUUUCAGAGAAGAAGAUUUUUGUAACAGAUUACUAAGAUUUACGAAAAAUGGUUAAAAAUUGACUAUAAAGGGCAAUAACUCCUAAAGGGGUCAACUGACCAUUUCGAUCAUGUUGACUUUUUUGUAAAUCUUACUUUGCUGAAC